CUGAGAAUAAUACUCCAUAGGUCUAGGAUGCUGGAAUGCACUUAGGCUGAAAACUUCGGUGCCUUAGGAUGAGUCUGCGGACUAUCAGGUUGUAGUCAGGGUAAAGACCUGACUAGCCUACGACGGAUACGGGUUGUGAGAGCAAUAACCCGGAGAUGAUAUCUGAGACACGAUAUCAGGCCCUACGGGGCGCAGCAGGCGCGAAAACUUCGCACUGCGCGAAAGCGCGACGAGGGAAUCCCAAGUGUAUGCACGUAAGUGUAUACUGUUUCUCUGUCUAAAAAGCAGAGAGAGUAAGAGCUGGGUAAGACGGGUGCCAGCCGCCGCGGUAAUACCUGCAGCUCGAGUGGUGAUCGUUAUUAUUGGGCCUAAAACGUCCGUAGCCGGUCUUCUAAAUGCCUGGGUAAAUCGUAUGGCUUAACCAUACGAAUUCCGGGUAGACUGUUAGACUUGAGACCGGGAGAAGCUAGAGGUACUCCUGGGGUAGAGGUGAAAUUCUGUAAUCCUAGGGGGACGACCAGUGGCGAAGGCGUCUAGCUAGAACGGGUCUGACGGUGAGGGACGAAGCCCUGGGGCGCAAACGGGAUUAGAUACCCCGGUAGUCCAGGGUGUAAACGCUGCUUGCUUGAUGUUAGUCUGGCUCCGAGCCAGAUUAGUGUCGGAGAGAAGUUGUUAAGCAAGCUGCCUGGGAAGUACGGCCGCAAGACUGAAACUUAAAGGAAUUG
rnacentral:rRNA from 1 species